CGCUGGCGGCNGGCUUANCNCAUGCAAGUCGAGCGAAGCCUUCGGGCUUAGCGGCGGACGGGUGAGUAACGCGUGGGAACGUGCCCUUCACUACGGAAUAGUCCCUGGAAACGGGGUUUAAUACCGUAUACGCCCUUCGGGGGAAAGAUUUAUCGGUGAAGGAUCGGCCCGCGUCUGAUUAGGUAGUUGGUGGGGUAAUGGCCUACCAAGCCGACGAUCAGUAGCUGGUUUGAGAGGAUGAUCAGCCACACUGGGACUGAGACACGGCCCAGACUCCUACGGGAGACAGCAGUGAGGAAUCUUGGACAAUGGGGGCAACCCUGAUCCAGCCAUGCCGCGUGAACGAUGAAGGCCUUAGGGUUGUAAAGUUCUUUCACCGGANAANAUAAUGACGGUAUCCGGAGAAGAAACCCCGGCUAACUCCGUGCCAGCAGCCGCGGUAAUACGGAGGGGGUUAGCGUUGUUCGGAAUUACUGGGCGUAAAGGGUGCNUNGCNAANCUUAANUCUGAUGUGAAAGCCCCNGGCNUUAACCUGGGAAUGGCAU
rnacentral:rRNA from 1 species